AAAGAAAAUGUGACUACUGGCUGCUCAAAAUUAAAUCUGAAUGUGCCGAGUCUCGUUCACCCCAGAAAAAGAAACACAAAUCUGGCUACGAAAAACGGAAGGAAAAGACAGCAAGAGAAGAAAAUCUGAUGAAAUUUAAAACGCAAUCGCAAAUUAAACGUUUUUUUUUUUCCAGUCUACUGGCAGUGGGACCGCUGGAAAAAAAAAAGCUACAGCAAGCGAACCACGAGGGCCUGGAGAGACUGACACGACUGAGCUUCAGAACGAACCUGAAAUUGUUUUGACAACAACUGAACAAGCGGCUGUCAAAACUCACCCUGGUGAUCCACAGUGUGGUUUUGAACUCCCCGAACCGCAGCCAGAGCUCAGUGAUAGUCCUGCGGAAUGGCCGGAGAGAAUUACGCAUUCCUUGCGAUGUCAAGCAGUUGUAAGAGCGACAUCAGGGAUCUGAUAUGUUAAACGGGGAUUUUCCAACCGCUGAACACCCUGAUGCUACUAAAGUCGAUUCUCUUCAUUUCACAAUCAGAAGAUUGGCAUUAAAACAGGGACCAAACAGAAAAAAUACAUCUAUUGUCCUGCCAGGGUUUUUAACCUUUACAAAGAUCAGGAGAUGACACAGGAAAUGACAUUGGUGUGAAUUCCAAGCAUCAAAAAGCGGAGAUGGCAGAGAGAAAAGGGAAAAUAAAAUUGGUUGGACAAAAUAGUACUAUAAAUACAGUUGUUGCUUGGACAACAUAUACAAAAUAGGACUGCAAGUGUUGCAGGUGUGCUUUAGCACCUUAUUAUUGAUUUAUUUGUAUUAUUUUUGUUCGCGUGUAUUAUUACUUGAUUUACUUUAAUCACAAUAUGAUUUUGUAUAUUCACUCUGCACUAUUAUUUAUAGAACGUCUGUGUCCAGCUGACACCCCUCCCUCUAGAGCUGUUACAGCCUGUUUGAGUCCAAACUGCUUCGGGACACUGAGAAGAGGGAUCCUGGAUAUUUGUAUUGCUUUAAACAAUUAUUAUUUUGUUCAUUCUUGCUGCUGUUGAUAUAGCUGUAUUACUUCUAUUGCUAUAGCCAUUGCUAACAUUGCUGCUAUUGAUACAGAUAUCAUUUUGAAUAAUAUUGCUAUAGUUACUGUUACCUUUGCUGCUAUUGAAUUAGACAUUACUUUUGUUGUUAAUUGCAUAUGCAAGGAUGGAAAUAUGACUUCUAAUGCAUAGCAGUUGGUCCAUUUCUGGUUUUACCAACUGCAGGCCCUUGUAGAAACUGUACUGAAGAAGCUGGGAAAAAAAAGAAGUCUGCAGGUCAGAAAACUACUGCUAUACAAUGGGAGUCUUAUUCCCCCCCUGCUUAUGUGCUUAUCCAUUUUAAUAGUGUGUUUGUGCAUAUUUAAAUUGUAUUGCUUUUAAUAGUUUUAGAAUACAUUUAAUAAACCUCCUUUUGAUAAUUA